UCUUCUCUGCACCACCAAUACUGAUUUUCUCUCUCUUCUAAUAUGACACUGGCUCGGGCGAGCCCACUAUUAAACAGGUCCGGUUUCGAAUUCGCUACUCACAAGGUUGGGUUCUCGGCAUCGAGGGGAUCUUCAACAUUUGGGGCAUUUUUGUUGCGGUGUAUGGUUUUGUGAAUCUUAGGACUUGCAAGAAUUGCAAAACCCAGUUCGAUCCAUCUCAGCAACAUGUAGAUAUCAGCAAAUUACCUCAGGCUUACCGUGCGCUCAAGUUCUUAGACCCCUUCUUGUUUUGGGUUGGUUGAUCGUAAAGUAUGAACCUUUUUUUUUUGGACUAGGCUAAAGUAUGAAUCUUUUGGGUUCCUCUGACUUGUUUACAUUGAUUUUUUUAUUAUCUAGAUUAUAUGUAAUCUGAGGUAGUGGAACGCGUUUUCAAACACUUCUGGGGGGCCUUUAUUAGCUAGCAACUAGUACUAGUACACGUUUUUUGAUCUUUACUCAUCUGCUGCCUUUUCAACUCUGGUUUUUGGAGAUAAAGUUGUAGUGUUUUGGUUGUGUUAUUGUUUUGUUAAUUGGGUUUGCUUUGAUUUUGAGAAAGAUGAAGGAUGAGUGGAGGUUCAAUCGGUUUAGAGACCCUUUGGGGGUUGUGGGUGUGGUGGUUGUGUGGGGAUCCAUUGUGUGGUUGCUGUUUCAGAAUCUGAGCUUGUGUUGGUCUUUGAAUGAUGAAGGUAAUGGAGUUUGAGUUACUGGGUUUUUAGUGUUUUGGUGUUUGAUGCUUUGGUUCUUGGGGAAGUGAAGGAAAAUGCUUUAGUGCUUUGCUUUGGUUCUCAAGAUUUCACACCGCUCAUUUUGGAUCCUUCUCAGCAACAUGUAGAUCCAUUACCUCUGACUAUACAUGCGAUAAUACCAGCUGCAAGAGGGCUUUUCAUAGCAUAUGUCUCGUGGACUGGUUGCAUUCCAUUACCACAACAAGGCAGUAUGUUAAGGCUCUUGUAUCACUGUCAUCUUUCCACUGGUUAUUGCACUGAAUAUAUUAUAGCUUUACUUGCUUUGAUAUUUUGUAACAGAAAUUGUAGGUUUAGAAUGUAUAAUUAUCUAGCAUACUCAUGAGUCAUGGCUUGAACUUGACAUUAACAUUCAAUGACUUGGUGCAUUUCCAGUUUUCCACAAUAUCAUAAAGGAAAAACAUAUAGGUAUCCUAAAAGGAACUGUAAGGGACAUAUAGAAUAGCUUCUUAACCUGUUCUCAUUAGUACUGCCUCCAUUACUUCUUAAGCUGCUUCAAACAAUCUCUUCAAUUGACCAUGACAAUUAGUGUAAUGAUUUGAAAAUAUUGACAUUGAGAAUUGUUUGGGCUGCAUCUGUCAGUCAUGUCAAGUCAAAACCUACAGUGGUGAACAUAGGAUUCCUUUUAUGGUUACUAAAUAAUUUUUUUUUUUUUUUUUUUGUAUUUGCAUUACAGGUCAUUUGAUGUUUUAUUUGGAAGUUGUCCAUACUAUUCAGAACCAGUUGCAGUGAAAAUCAAUAGUGUGAAGAAGUAAACUAGGUCUUCCAGACCUGCUAAUCAAGGAUCUUGUGAUGUGCUCCUUUCCUGCUUAAAGUCUAGAGACAAGCAGACCAGUAGACCAUAAACCAUUGGGUUGAAGUUGAACCAUUGUGUAAUGGAGCCAACCACAUUUUCCCCGAGGUACAUUGGCAAAAGGAGAACCUGCUGAUGUGAUGUCCCAUUACGGGUUUAGAGAGGACCAAAGAUUGCUGCGAAAACUUGGUUGCGGCGAGAGAUCAAAGAGCUUUUGAAAAAG